GAUGAACGCUAGCGGCAGGCCUAACACAUGCAAGUCGAGGGGUAGAAGGAGCUUGCUCCUUUGAGACCGGCGCACGGGUGCGUAACGCGUAUGCAAUCUACCUUGUACAGGGGAAUAGCCCAGAGAAAUUUGGAUUAAUGCCCCAUAGUAUAUAACCUUCGCAUGUUGGUUAUAUUAACGUUCCAACGGUACAAGAUGAGCAUGCGUCCCAUUAGUUAGUUGGUAAGGUAACGGCUUACCAAGACGAUGAUGGGUAGGGGUCCUGAGAGGGAGAUCCCCCACACUGGUACUGGGACACGGACCAGACUCCUACGGGAGGCAGCAGUGAGGAAUAUUGGUCAAUGGUCGCAAGACUGAACCAGCCAUACCGCGUGCAGGAAGACGGUCCUAUGGAUUGUAAACUGCUUUUAGACAGGAAGAAACCCUCCCACGUGUGGGAGCUUGACGGUACUGUAGGAAUAAGGAUCGGCUAACUCCGUG
rnacentral:rRNA from 1 species